UACGGAGGGUGCGAGCGUUGUCCGGAAUCACUGGGCGUAAAGGGCGCGUAGGUGGCGCGAUGAGUCAACGGUGAAAGCUCGACGCUCAACGUCGAGUCGGCCGUCGAUACUGUCGCGCUGGAGCACUGUAGAGGCUCAUGGAAUUCCGGGUGUAGCGGUGGAAUGCGUAGAGGAUCCGGAAAGAACACCGGUGGCGAAGGCGGUGAGC
rnacentral:rRNA from 1 species